GUUAAGUUGUAAUUACUUGGAAGAGUUCUCAAUCCGUGAGGGAGAGAAAAGGAGAAGUCUGGCCUUGAGCUACCAGGCAAAGCAGGAGGAAAUACACUGCUAAUUAAGCCCUUAGCAGAGCAGAGCAGAGCAGAGCUGAGAAAUUAAGCAUGGAAAGAAGCAUAGUUCCCGAAUUAUUAGAUUUAAAACAAGAUAACUAUCAAAAGUGG
rnacentral:misc_RNA from 1 species